CGGCAGGCCUAACACAUAGCAAAUCGAACGGUAACAGGAGAAGCUUGCUCUUGCUGACGAGUGGCGGACGGGUGAGUAAUGUCUGGGAAACUGCCUGAUGGAGGGGGAUAACUACUGGAAACGGUAGCUAAUACCGCAUAACGUCGCAAGACCAAAGAGGGGGACCUUCGGGCCUCUUGCCAUCGGAUGUGCCCAGAUGGGAUUAGCUAGUAGGUGGGGUAACGGCUCACCUAGGCGACGAUCCCUAGCUGGUCUGAGAGGAUGACCAGCCACACUGGAACUGAGACACGGUCCAGACUCCUACGGGAGGCAGCAGUGGGGAAUAUUGCACAAUGGGCGCAAGCCUGAUGCAGCCAUGCCGCGUGUAUGAAGAAGGCCUUCGGGUUGUAAAGUACUUUCAGCGGGGAGGAAGGGAGUAAAGUUAAUACCUUUGCUCAUUGACGUUACCCGCAGAAGAAGCACCGGCUAACUCCGUGCCAGCCGCAGC
rnacentral:rRNA from 1 species